rnacentral:rRNA from 1 species
UACGGGGGGGGCAAGCGUUGUUCGGAAUUACUGGGCGUAAAGGGCUCGUAGGCGGCCAACUAAGUCAGACGUGAAAUCCCUAGGCUCAACCUAGGAACUGCGUCUGAUACUGGAUGGCUUGAAUCCGGGAGAGGGAUGCAGAAUUCCAGGUGUAGCGGUGAAAUGCGUAGAUAUCGGGAGGAACACCAGUGGCGAAGGCGACUACCUGGCCUGUUUCUUGACGCUGAGGCGCGAAAGCCAGGGGAGCAAACGGG